GCAGGGGUGCCGGAGUGGUCAAACGGGCAAGAUUAAGGCUCUUGUGGCUUAGUGCCUACGCAGGUUCGAAUCCUGUCCCUUGCA
rnacentral:tRNA from 1 species